rnacentral:rRNA from 1 species
CUUGACCUAUAAUAAGAGGUCCAGCCUGCCCAGUGAAUUUUAAACGGCCGCGGUAUCCUAACCGCGCGAAGGUAGCAUAAUCACUUGUUCUUUAAAUGGGGACUCGUAUCAACGGCAUCACGAGGGUUUUACUGUCUCCUCUUUUUGAUCAGUGAAAUUGAUCUUCCCGUGAAGAAGCGGGAAUACUUAUAUAAGACGAGAAGACCCCAUGGAGCUUUAAACCAAAUAACAACUUAACCACUUAACCCAUUAUAAAUUUAAGCCAUGUUGUAAGGUUUUAGGUUGGGGUGACCGCGGAGUAAAGUAUAUCCUCCACGACGGAAAGAAGCACAAUCUUUAUUUAAGAACCACAAUUCUAGAAAUUAGUAUACUAACGUUCACUGACCCGACAAUCGAUCAACGGACCA